rnacentral:rRNA from 1 species
GGAGGGUGCAAGCGUUAUCCGGAUUCACUGGGUUUAAAGGGUGCGUAGGUGGGCUAGUAAGUCCGUGGUGAAAUCUCUGAGCUUAACUCGGAAACUGCCGUGGAUACUAUUAGUCUUGAAUCUCGUGGAGGUAAGCGGAAUAUGUCAUGUAGCGGUGAAAUGCUUAGAUAUGACAUAGAACACCGAUAGCGAAGGCAGCUUGCUACACGAGUAUUGACACUGAGGCACGAAAGCGUGGGGAUCAAACAGGAUUAGAUACCCUGGUAGUCCACGCCCUAAACGAUGGAUACUCGACAUACGCGAUACACAGUGUGUGUCUGAGCGAAAGCAUUAAGUAUCCCACCUGGGAAGUACGACCGCAAGGUUG